rnacentral:ncRNA from 1 species
UACCUGGUUGAUCCUGCCAGUAGUCAUAUGCUUGUCUCAAAGAUUAAGCCAUGCAAGUCUAAGUACGAGCUCUCGUACAGUGAAACUGCGAAUGGCUCAUUAAAUCAGUUAUGGUUCAUUUGAUCGUACAGUUUACUUGGAUAACUGUGGUAAUUCUAGAGCUAAUACAUGCGAGAAGCGCCGACCUCGCGGGAGGCGUGCAUUUAUCAGACCAAAAACCGGCCGCGUCUUCGGGCGCGUUCGCCUUGGUGACUCUGGAUAACUUUGCGGAUCGCACGGUCUAGCACCGGCGACGGAUCAUUCAAGUGUCUGCCCUAUCAACUUUCGUCGGUACGGUAUUUGCCUACCGAGGUUCUUACGGGUGACGGGGAAUCAGGGUUCGAUGCCGUUUAUGGAGCCUGAGAAACGGCUACCUCAUCCAAGGAAGGCAGCAGGC